AGCAUGUGGUUUAAUUCGAAGCAACGCGAAGAACCUUACCAAGUCUUGACAUCCCCCCUGACCGGAACUUAACCGUUCCUUUCCUUCGGGACAGGGGAGACAGGUGGUGCAUGGUUGUCGUCAGCUCGUGUCGUGAGAUGUUGGGUUAAGUCCCGCAACGAGCGCAACCCCUAUCCUCAGUAGCCAGCAGUUCGGCUGGGCACUCUGUGGAGACUGCCAGGGAUAACCUGGAGGAAGGCGGGGAUGACGUCAAAUCAUCAUGCCCCUUAUGAUUUGGGCUACACACGUGCUACAAUGGCGUAAACAAAGGGAAGCGAGCCUGUGAAGGUAAGCAAAUCCCAAAAAUAACGUCCCAGUUCGGACUGCAGUCUGCAACUCGACUGCACGAAGCUGGAAUCUCUAGUAAUCGCGGAUCAGAAUGCCGCGGUGAAUACGUUCCCGGGUCUUGUACACACCGCCCGUCACACCAUGGGAGUCAGUAACGCCCGAAGUCAGUGACCUAACCGCAAGGAGGAGCUGCCGGAA
rnacentral:rRNA from 1 species